CCCAGACUCCUACGGGAGGCAGCAGUGGGGAAUAUUGGGCAAUGGGCGAAAGCCUGACCCAGCAACGCCGCGUGAAGGAAGAAGGCUUUCGGGUUGUAAACUUCUUUUAAGAGGGAAGAGCAGAAGACGGUACCUCCUGAAUAAGCCACAGCUAACUACGUGCCAGCAGCCGCGGUAAUACGUAGGUGGCAAGCGUUGUCCGGAUUUACUGGGUGUAAAGGGCGUGCAGCCGGGAGUGCAAGUCAGAUGUGAAAUCCCGCGGCUCAACCGCGGAACUGCAUUUGAAACUGUGCUUCUUGAGUGCUGGAGAGGCAGACGGAAUUCCUAGUGUAGCGGUGAAAUGCGUAGAUAUUAGGAGGAACACCAGUGGCGAAGGCGGUCUGCUGGACAGUAACUGACGGUGAGGCGCGAAAGCGUGGGGAGCAAACAGGAUUAGAUACCCCGGUA
rnacentral:rRNA from 1 species